rnacentral:siRNA from 1 species
AGGAAAGCUCGAACCCUUGGAGAG